GUGUGUGUGUGUGUAGGAUCGGCAUGCGAACAUCGAAACGCUUUGAUCUUUUACGGUUUCAUCGUAGGUCGGUUUGUUCGGAUACAAUAUUCGGAUUAUGAAUGCUGUAUUCAAGCAGAGGACAAGACGAAGAAGGAGCCGGUGUUUAGGAGCAAGGAUGAAGUACUCGAGCAACGUCGCGAGAUGCGUUGCCGCAGCUCUAUCAAGGUGUCUCGUACGCUGCAAGGAAAUGGAAAUCAAUGCACAACGACGAUGGAGACAGGCGGAAUCCCAUUUUGCAUGCAAUUUGCGAAACCGUUGCUUGAUCCAGCCAACGAGGCUCAGGUUCGGCAGUUCAAGGUAGACGAAGAGAAAGAUCUGGUGAUGAGCGUGCAUCUAGGAUUGAAGAAUAUCGUGUUUGGUGGCUCAAAACCAAACCAAGAGGCCAGCGCCAAAGAGCGGAACGGAAAACGGAUUAGGCUGGUUAAAUUUUCCAGGGCGCGCUCGUCAACGAGAAACGCGCGCUAUAAACGCCACGAGAUACACCGACAAAUGGAGUGGCAGCCUCAGUGCUCAUCCAGACGCUCUGAGCACUCUUUCGAGCAGAGAACGAUGCUUCACACACUUCAUGACGUGGUUGUAUAAGCGUUACAAUGGCUCUCGAAGAGGAUUUUUUCACUCGAGUACAUGAGACCGUGCUGGGGCCGCAAACGCGGCUGCGGUUGUACCAAGACGGAUCGGGCACGUUACCCAAUUUGUUCAAUGCGAUGGAAGAGGAAUUGGAAAUAAACGUCGUGUCGUUUGGUGGUCGCCUAAGCUGCUGAACGCGCUGUAGCGCACAAAGGGUACCAUUCUGCUCCUUCGACGAGAGCGUACAGCUUGUGCAGGAAUUGAUUUAUCCACAUUCCCAUCGAUGAGUACAGAGUGACAUGAACAGAUGACGAGCACGGUUUUACGCUGUCACAAAUAGAGAAGAAAUGCGAAAAACAGACCCGAAUCAACGAAAUGGUGUACGGUACGCUGAACAGCCGUUCAAGAUCUAGACAAUCGACGUUGAGACGCGUGCGAUAAUGUGAUUCCACACGAGCAGCCAGGUGCGCAAACCCUUUCUGCACCCAGACUACAGCGCCUCGAUUAACUUCAGGAGAUCUUUGGUACCCUCGGAGCAUCCGGAUGAUUUGUCUAGAGCAUAUAUUCGAGACAAUCGUUUGGUACUCAGGGUGGGUAUUGUGAUGGAAAAAAAGUCGUUGAUCAGCAGAAAGAGAGAGCGUGUGUGCACUCUGUAUUCCUGCCCGAUCGCGAGCCCAUGGUAUGGUACGGUUCAGCGGAAUCCAGGUACAUCGGAGCGCCAUAUACGUACAUAUACCGAGAAUAAAUUUUCU